rnacentral:rRNA from 1 species
CGGCCGCAAGGUUAAAACUCAAAUGAAUUGACGGGGGCCCGCACAAGCGGUGGAGCAUGUGGUUUAAUUCGAUGCAACGCGAAGAACCUUACCUACUCUUGACAUCCAGAGAAUUUAGCAGAGAUGCUUUAGUGCCUUCGGGAACUCUGAGACAGGUGCUGCAUGGCUGUCGUCAGCUCGUGUUGUGAAAUGUUGGGUUAAGUCCCGCAACGAGCGCAACCCUUAUCCUUUGUUGCCAGCGAUUCGGUCGGGAACUCAAAGGAGACUGCCGGUGAUAAACCGGAGGAAGGUGGGGAUGACGUCAAGUCAUCAUGGCCCUUACGAGUAGGGCUACACACUUGCUACAAUGGCGUAUACAAAGAGAAGCGACCUCGCGAGAGCAAGGGGGGGGUCGUAAAGUACGUCGUAGUCCGGAUUGGAGUCUGCAACUCGACUCCAUGAAGUCGGAAUCGCUAGUAAUCGUAGAUCAGAAUGCUACGGUGAAUACGUUCCCGGGCCUUGUACACACCGCCCGUCACACCAUGGGAGUGGGUUGCAAAAGAAGUAGGUAGCUUAACCUUCGGGAGGGCGCUUACCACUUUGUGAUUCAUGACUGGGGUGAAGUCGUAAC